AGAGGGUGGCAGAUCUCACUAGCCAUUAGUGUGGGAUACUAAUAUAAGGAUGUGGGUGCUAAUUUAAAAAAUAAGUCCACUAAAUUAACUCGAUAAAAGAGAACAUCUUAUGGAAGCCUUACUUGCAUGUCAAAGAUGGUUCUCUAAGUGGGAGUUGUGCAAGUGAUCCUUAGACCUGAGAUCACCAUGAAAUCUUAUGCAUAUGAAUUUAUAUUUUGGUUCAUACUCAAGAAUGACUU
rnacentral:lncRNA from 1 species